AGAGGAUCCUGCUGGAAUAUAAGAAGCCUUUGAUGGAGGCGGAGCCGCGGAUCCUGAGCUUGAAGAAGAUCCAGCCUGUUUUUUAUAGGCUGAAGGAGAUCCUGCAGUGUCACUCCAUGUUUCAGAUUGCUCUGGCCUCCCGUGUUGCAGAAUGGGAUAAUUCAGAGAAAAUCGGAGACCUUUUUGUUGCUUCAUUUUCCAAAUCGAUGGUGCUAGAUGUGUACAGCGACUAUGUAAA